rnacentral:rRNA from 1 species
AGUGAACGCUGGCGGUAGGCCUAACACAUGCAAGUCGAACGGCAGCACAGUAAGAGCUUGCUCUUACGGGUGGCGAGUGGCGGACGGGUGAGGAAUACAUCGGAAUCUACUUUUUCGUGGGGGAUAACGUAGGGAAACUUACGCUAAUACCGCAUACGACCUACGGGUGAAAGCAGGGGAUCUUCGGACCUUGCGCGAUUGAAUGAGCCGAUGUCGGAUUAGCUAGUUGGCGGGGUAAAGGCCCACCAAGGCGACGAUCCGUAGCUGGUCUGAGAGGAUGAUCAGCCACACUGGAACUGAGACACGGUCCAGGCUCCUACGGGAAGCAACAGUUGGGAAUAUUUGACAAUUGGCGCAAGCCUGAUCCAGCCAUACCGCGUUGGUUAAAGAGGCCUUCGGGUUUUAAAACCCUUUUGUUUGGAAAGAAAAGCAGCAAGUUAAUACCCCGCUGUUCUGGCGGUACCCAAAGAAUAAGCACCGGCUAACUUCGUG